GAUCAUGGCUCAGGAUGAACGCUAGCUACAGGCUUAACACAUGCAAGUCGAGGGGAAACGACAUCGGAAGCUUGCUUUUGAUGGGCGUCGACCGGCGCACGGGUGAGUAACGCGUAUCCAACCUGCCCACCACUUGGGGAUAACCUUGCGAAAGUAAGACUAAUACCCGAUGAUAUCUCUAGACGACAUCUGAAAGGGAUUAAAGAUUUAUCGGUGAUGGAUGAGGAUGCGUCUGAUUAGCUUGUUGGCGGGGUAACGGCCCACCAAGGCAACGAUCAGUAGGGGUUCUGAGAGGAAGGUCCCCCACAUUGGAACUGAGACACGGUCCAAACUCCUACGGGAGGCAGCAGUGAGGAAUAUUGGUCAAUGGGCGAGAGCCUGAACCAGCCAAGUAGCGUGCAGGAUGACGGCCCUCCGGGUUGUAAACUGCUUUUAGUUGGGAAUAAAAAAGGCGACGUGUCGCCUAUUGUAUGUACCAUCAGAAAAAGGGCCGGCUAAUUCCGUG
rnacentral:rRNA from 1 species